rnacentral:lncRNA from 1 species
CAUAACUAUAGGGAAUUUCUCUGCCCUAGCACUCUUUAAAAUGAAUGGAUAUGAUGCAUUUGUUGAAAUUGAUUAUGACUUGCUUUGAGUAUUAUAGGGACUACAAGGUUUUCAAGUACAAGGUGAAAGUGAAGUUGAUGAGGAUGAUUUGUAAUAAGAUUAUUAUGGACAUCACUGGAAUAUCCAGUAUAACACAAUCCAUAGAGCAAACAUACAAUCAAAGUUUGGAGCAACUUUCAAAUCUCUAUUGGCCUGAAGGUUUAAAUAUUGAAACCCCACUAAUCUUCAUAAAU